rnacentral:lncRNA from 1 species
AAUGAGGAAAGCAGAUUUACUGUGGAGUUCAGUCAUGCUCCCAAAGCAAAGAGUAAUCAUGUGGCUAGCAUAUAAAAACAGAUCGCUUACGAAAGAAAGAAUGAAGAAGUUAAACAUAUAGGAGGAGAAAGAAGUCCUUUCCUAAAGUGAAAGUGAAUUCAAGCCGAUACAUCAUAAAUAAAAGAGAGAUUACAGUUUCUUGCUUAUCUAUGGAAUACUGUAUUGUUAUUGGCCU